CUGCAGCCCGAGUGGUGGUCGAUUUUAUUGAGCCUAAAGCGUCCGUAGCCGGACUAGUAAACCCUUGGGUAAAUUGGGCAGCUUAACUGUCCGACUUCCGAGGAGACUGCUAGUCUUGGGACUGGGAGAGGUCAGAGGUACUCCAGGGGUAGGGGCUAAAUCCUGUAAUCCUUGGGGGACCACCAGUGGCGAAGGCGUCUGACUAGAACGGAUCCGACGGUAAGGGACGAAACCCUGGGGCGCAAACCGGAUUAGAUACCCGAGUAGUCC
rnacentral:rRNA from 1 species